AGCCCCCCUCUAGCCCACUCCCACAACACUUACCCCCCAAUAAAAACCAAAUGCCACCGCACAAACCAAAACAUUCUCCACACGACCCAGUAUAGGCGAUAGAAAAGUCAAUCCGGCGCUAUAGAGACACGUACCGUAAGGGAAAGAUGAAAUAACAAUGAAAACCCAAAGCAAUAAACAGCAAAGCUAAACCCUUGUACCUUUUGCAUCAUGAUCUAGCAAGAACCUCCAAGCAAAGCGAACUAAAGUUUGCCAUCCCGAAACCCAAGCGAGCUACUUACAAGCAGCUACCCCCCCUGAGCGAACCCGUCUCUGUUGCAAAAGAGUGGGACGACUUGUUAGUAGAGGUGAAAAGCCAACCGAGCUGGGCGAUAGCUGGUUGCCCGUAUAAACGAAUCUCAGUUCCCCCUUGACUGCCUCACGGAUACUAUCACCCAACCUCCAACGUAAUGCAAGCCAAGAGUUAUUUAAAGGGGGUACAGCCCCUUUAAACAAGGAUACAACCCCCACCAGCGGAUAACCACCCCCUUUCCCCCCUGUCGGCCUUCAAGCAGCCACCAACAAAGAGUGCGUCAAAGCUCCCCACCCAACAAAAAUAUAAAAACACAAUAGAUUCCCUCCCCACCAACGGGCUAACCUGCAUCAGCAGGAGAACCAAUGCCAGAAUAAGUAACCAGGACCAAAUCCUCUCAAGCGCAAACUUACAUCCAACCAUCAUUAACAGACCCCAGAAUCCCCAAACCCAACAAGACAUAACAUUCACCCAAACCUGCUAGUCCAACCCAGGAGCGCCCAUAGAAAGAUUAAAAUCUGUAGAAGGAACUAGGCAAACCAAGGACCCGACUGUUUACCAAAAACAUAGCCUUCAGCCCACCAAGUAUUGAAGGUGAUGCCUGCCCAGUGACACGUUUCAACGGCCGCGGUAUCCUAACCGUGCAAAGGUAGCGCAAUCAAUUGUCUCAUAAAUCGAGACCUGUAUGAAUGGCUAAACGAGGCCCUAACUGUCUCCUACAGACAAUCAGUGAAAUUGAUCCCCCUGUGCAAAAGCAAGGAUACACACAUAAGACGAGAAGACCCUGUGGAACUUAAAAAUCAGAGGCCAUACCACAAUAAUACCAAACCCCUGCUAGGAACACCCCCCCCCACCACAAACCCUGGCCCACAUUUUUUGGUUGGGGCGACCUUGGAGAAAAACAAAUCCUCCAAAAACAAGACCACACCUCCUGACCAAGAGAGACAUCUCAACGUACUAAUAGCAACCAGACCCAGUACAUCUGACCAAUGAACCAAGCUACCCCAGGGAUAACAGCGCAAUCUCCUCCAAGAGCCCAUAUCGACAAGGAGGUUUACGACCUCGAUGUUGGAUCAGGACAUCCUAAUGGUGCAGCCGCUAUUAAGGGUUCGUUUGUUCAACGAUUAACAGUCCUACGUGAUCUGAGUUCAGACCGGAGCAAUCCAGGUCGGUUUCUAUCUAUGCCAUAAUCUUCCCCAGUACGAAAGGACCGGUAAGAUGGGGCCCAUACUUACACAAGCACGCCCCCCCUUCAAGCAGAGCAUACAACUAAACUGCCAAGAGGACCACCACCCUCCCCCAAAAGAAGGGUCG
rnacentral:rRNA from 1 species